rnacentral:pre_miRNA from 1 species
UGAUGAUGAUGAUGAUGAUGAUGAUACUGAUGAUGAUGGUGACAAUGAUGGUGAUGACAACCGUCAUCAUCAUCAUCAUCAUCAUCAUCCUCAUCA